ACUAACACAGCCCAACAAAAACCGAAAAAAACAACUCAAGAAACAAAACACAAAGGGACCGUGGCCCAUCGUAGCUCCGCCACAGAACUACAAAUCAAUCACGCACACAAAGAGAUACGAAGAUACAUAGAUCAAUCAGCUUUAUAUUUCAAUCCCCGUCCACAACCUAAAUAUUAUCCUCAAUAAAUGAUGGAAAGUAUAGCUCCCAACUAGAAAUUCUACACUUCAAAUAUGCCGUUGUUAACCGUUUCUUGCUUCCCGAUUCCAUUCCCAUUUCCUUCAACACCACGAGUUAGUGAAUUCUUCAAACAUUUAUUUCUUGUUUCUUUUCAUAUUUUCUUUUAAUUAGGGAGAUUUUAUAUCUAUAUGUGAUGGAAAAAUAUAUGCAGGUCAUUACUUAUGGAGGCUUUGCCUCAAGAAA
rnacentral:lncRNA from 1 species